rnacentral:rRNA from 1 species
CCCUUAGAUGUCCUGGGCCGCACGCGCGCUACACUGACAUGUUCAACUAGCCUCCUAGUUCGACAGGAUUUGGGAAAUCUUUGAACGCAUGUCGUGAUAGGGAUAGAUCAUUGCAAUUAUUGAUCUUGAACGAGGAAUUCCUAGUAAACGCGAGUCAUCAGCUCGCAUUGAUUACGUCCCUGCCCUUUGUACACACCGCCCGUCGCACCUACCGAUUGAAUGUUUCGGUGAAGAUUCCGGAUAGGACUUUUUUGAUUUAUUUCAAUUUUGUCUUAAAAGCUAUCUAAACCUCAACAUUUAGAGGAAGGUGAAGUCGUAACA